GGAGAAUUGGGAGUUUGGUGGUUGUACUGUGAAGAAAGAGUCAUUGCUGUGAGGAGGUGCCCAUGAGAAGUUACUGAGAUGGGCAAGGUGCAGCCGGAGAUGGAGCCCAGCGCAGCACUGAGAGCAGCAGGGGAUGCUGCUUGGUCUGGACCUGACAGAUUUCGACACCUGGAGUACAGAAGAGUAUGACGGAUCCAAGGUUGUUCAGCCUGGAGAGGAGAUGGCUGCAGGGGAGAAUGGAACAUCAGAUCCCCACUGCCUGCAAGGAGACAGACCCAGGCUCUUCAUACCUGUGUGUGGUGAAAGGACAAGAGACAAUGGACAUAUGUUGGAGAAGAAAAGAUUGCGUGGAUAUGAUGAAGAGAAAAUUCCCAACAGGAUAGCAAAAUGGUGGAGCAAAUUGCUAUAAAAGAUUCUAAAGCAAUGGUGAUUUUUAAGACCUGGCUAGAUGUAGCAUGAGCAGAGUUGAGCAGAUCUGACUAAGUAGCUCUAACUUCAGCACAUCUCUUGGUGCAAGAUGGACUAAAAACUUGAUGAGAUAGUUUCAUCUAAAUAUAUGUAGUCAUCUUUAGUGAGAUUUCCUUAAGUUUUUUGUUGUUAUCAUGAUGCCUCUGACCUAAAUUUUGGAUAUAGAGCCAUAUGACCAUAGAAUAAUUCAACUGGGAAACUAUCUCCUAAAAUAUAAUCAAUUUUACAACCUCUCUAAGAUUUUGUAACAUUUUAUGGCAGCUAUAUAGCUGGAAAGAGUGAAAUAAACCUACACCAGUCUGGAGAAACAAGAAAUACAGCCUUGGUGGACUAAUAUUUGUGCAAAUGCAGUGACAAAAGAUUAAUUUAAGCAUUAGACUAAAUUAAAAAUUUUUGUGCUUGACAUUGUCCUCGCUUUCUCAUCUUCCCUUAAAAGGAAAACAAAUUAUGCUGGUUUGUGUAUUUGCUUGCUUGAUUGUUCGAUUUGUUGUUUUUUCCCCCCCCAGGUUACCAAUAGUAUGUUUAAUCAUAGUUCUCAUCUGUCACAGCAUCCUGGAAAGAAGCCUGGACUUGGGAAAGCACUAAAAGCUACUUUUUAGCAUCUUCAAACAAAAGAUAGAGCUUUAGGCAGAGGGCGAGCAUGUAAGGGAGAGACAGCAAGAGAAAACUUUCCCCAUCAGCCAGCGGCUAAAAGAAGUGAUUUGGUAUCCAGAUGAAUAUCCUACCCUGAGCAUCGUCUCCACUGCAGCAGAUCAUCCCUCAAAACAAUUUUUUUCAUAUCUAUAUCAUAACUAUAUCACUUUCAUCAGAAAUUAUUCAAAAUGUCUGUGCUUAGUUUUGCCUGUGAUGUGCCAGUGUUAGCUGCAGCAUGCGUUGAACACGGAAAUAUACUUGCCUUUUAUUGCUAAACUUUCUUCGUAUGUGUACUUGGUCCCUUAGAGUAAAAUACAAGUUAUUGAAAAAAUAAAAAUAGAAAAAGGUCAGCAAUGUUGGCAAAUAAAAGCUAACAAUACUGGCAAAAGAGCUAUCAAUGCAUAGUGCUUUUCCUUAAUGCACACUUCUAUAACACAAUACUUUUCCUUAAGAAAAAUCUUCAGCGGUGUAGGUAUGACAGAAACAACCAGCCCUUUUUUCUCUCCCCUUCCCCCUGCUUUAACAGAAAAUAGUGUUUCCUGUAAAAUA